rnacentral:lncRNA from 10 species
UCAUUACAACUAAUUGAGACUCAAAUGGGACUUGGGAUGUAUGAACAGAAGUAUGAGGGGCAGGAUGAUAGAGGUGACUGCCUACUCAGCUCUGUGCUUCCCUGAUCUGCAGUGCCAGACUCUGGCUGGCUCGGAGGACAGCCAGCCUGGGCAGGAGACUGGAAACUCCUGCCAAGAGUGGCAGGGAGCCUAUUGGUUGUGUUUUGACUUUUGUCAUAGUGAUGUGUGCCAGGCUGAUUUUUUUUUUUAAUAGGUCUUUUCUUCUUUGGCCUCUGGGUUUAUUAUUAAAAAGAAAUGUUGGAGAGAAAGAAGCUAGCAUUUAAUGAAGUCCCUCCAGGAGGUGGCCCCAAGCACGCUGUGCACACACUAACCCAAAGCAGCCAAUAUUUGUUUGAUGGAUGGGAAACUGAGGCCAGAAGUCUUGUCUCUGGGAGACAGAGAAACAAAUUCCCAGGACAAAUUUCUGUAGGCAUUGCAGGGAAGGAGCCAUCUGUUUAAUAUAAUAAACAUUUUCAACAAAGGAAGGGUAGGAGGUAUUCAUGUAUAAGCUGCACAGGCGGCCUUCAGCAGAGCUGGGUGCAGAAUGGGGGUCCUCUGUUGUCAGGGAGGUCCGACUGAGGACGUCUGCACUCCCUGCCACCGCAGCAAGUCCCUGAGUCCGUCACUGAGGUCCCCCUUUGUAGGAGUAGGGUGUGCAAACUGCAGGUGUGCUUGCUGGGCUGGCUGGGGCUGGGGCCAAGGGGCAGAGGUGAGCAUCCCCCUUACAGGGGCUCUUUUUGCAGAUGAUUGAGUCGAAUGACAUUUCAGAGGAGACGAUCAGGACGAAGGAAACUGUGGAGGGCCUGCAGGACAAGCUGAACAAGAGGGACAAAGAGGUGACAGCCUUGACCUCCCAGACCGAGAUGCUCAGGGCCCAAGUAAGUGCGCUGGAGAGCAAGUGUAAGUCAGGCGAGAAGAAGGUGGACGCCCUC